GACGAACGCUGGCGGCGUGCUUAACACAUGCAAGUCGAACGGUAAGGCCCUUCGGGGUACACGAGUGGCGAACGGGUGAGUAACACGUGGGUGAUCUGCCCUGCACUUCGGGAUAAGCCUGGGAAACUGGGUCUAAUACCGGAUAGGACCACUGCCCGCAUGGGUGGUGGUGGAAAGGUUUUGCGGUGUGGGAUGGGCCCGCGGCCUAUCAGCUUGUGGGUGGGGUGAUGGCCUACUAAGGCGACGACGGGUAGCCGGCCUGGGAGGGUGACCGGCCACACUGGGACUGAGAUACGGCCCAGACUCCUACGGGAGGCAGCAGUGGGGAAUAUUGCACAAUGGGCGCAAGCCUGAUGCAGCGACGCCGCGUGAGGGAUGACGGCCUUCGGGUUGUAAACCUCUUUCAGCACCGACGAAGCGCAAGUGACGGUAGGUGCAGAAGAAGGACCGGCCAACUACGUGCCAGCCGCCGCUGUAA
rnacentral:rRNA from 1 species